CCUUGGCUGCGGCCGCCGAGUCCGUGCGCGCGGCGUCCUGCUUCCUCGCCUCGUCCGGGUCUCGGCGCUGAGAGGCGGUGGCGGCCGGCGGGAUGGAGAAAAGUAGGAUGAACCUACCUAAGGGGCCGGACACGCUCUGCUUCGACAAGGACGAGUUCAUGAAGGAAGACUUCGAUGUCGAUCACUUUGUGUCCGACUGUCGGAAGCGGGUCCAGCUGGAAGCACUGAGAGAUGACCUGGAGCUCUACUAUAAGCUGCUUAAAACGGCCAUGGUCGAGCUCAUCAACAAGGACUAUGCAGACUUCGUCAACCUGUCAACGAACCUGGUUGGCAUGGACAGAGCCCUCAGCCAGCUUUCUGUGCCUUUGGGACAGUUACGAGAAGAGGUUCUGAGUCUUAGAUCAUCUGUCAGUGAAGGAAUUCGGGCAGUAGAUGAACGAAUGUCUAAACAAGAGGACAUUAGGAGAAAAAAGAUAUGUGUGUUGAGGCUUAUACAGGUUAUUCGAUCAGUUGAGAAAAUUGAAAAAAUCUUAAAUUCUCAACAUUCUAAAGAAACAUCUGCACUAGAAGCAAGCAGCCCACUUCUGACUGGACAGAUUUUGGAGAGAAUUGCCACAGAAUUUAACCAGUUACAGUUUCAUGCUGUUCAAAGCAAAGGCAUGCCUCUUUUGGACAAAAUAAGACCACGUAUAGCUGGCAUUACAGCCAUGUUACAGCAGUCACUGGAAGGCCUCCUUUUGGAAGGUCUGCGGACUUCCAGUGUCGAUGUAAUCCGGCACUGCUUACGGACUUACGCCACGAUUGACAAGGCACGGGACGCGGAGGCGUUAGUUGGUCAAGUCCUCGUGAAACCAUAUGUGGAUGAGGUGAUUGUAGAGCAGAUUGCCGAUGCUCAUCCGAGUGAUCUUCAGCUCAUGUACAGGAAGCUCCUGGCGUUCGUUCCCCACCACUGCCGCCUCCUUCGAGAGGUCACGGGAGGAGCCACCUCAAGUGAAAAAGGCAAUACUGUUCCCGGAUAUGAUUUUUUGGUGAAUUCUGUCUGGCCAGAAAUAGUACGAGGAUUAGAAGAAAAAUUGCCCUCACUUUUUAAUGCUGGGAAUCCCGAUGCCUUUCACCAGAAAUAUACCAUAAGUAUGGAUUUUGUAAGAACAUUUGAACGGCAAUGUGGAUCACAGGCCAGUGUAAAAAGAUUAAGAGCACAUCCCGCCUAUCACAGCUUCAAUAAUAAGUGGAACUUGCCUGUGUAUUUUCAAAUAAGAUUUAGAGAAAUAGCGGGAUCCUUAGAAGCAGCACUUACAGAUGUCCUGGAAGACGCACCAGCUGGAAGUUCGUAUUGCCUCUUGGCUUCUCACAGGACGUGGAGCAGCCUGCAGAGGUGUUGGUCUGACCAGAUGUUCUUGCCGUUGCUGGUGCAUCGUCUGUGGAGACUCACUCUGCAGAUUCUCGCACGGUACUCCGUGUUUGUCAAGGAGCUUUUACUCAGGCCCAUCUCUAAUGAAAGUGCCAAGGAUAUUAGAAAGCCUUCGGGAACCGGCAGCAAAGAUCCUUCUGUCGCCCAAGGAAACUGCGAAGACCGAGGAAGCGGCCCUUCCGAGACGAAGCCCGUCGUCCCCGUCUCCAGCACUCAGCUUGUUUACGUGGUCGCAGACCUGGACAGGCUUCAGGAGCAGCUUCCAGAGCUCUUGGAAACAAUCAGGCCAAAACUUGAAGUGAUUGGCUUUAAGAAUUUUUCUUCUAUCUCAGCAGCCCUGGAGGACUCCCGGCUAUCUCUGUCUGCCUGUGUGCCUGCCUUGAGUGACAGAGUCACCCAGGACUUGAGUGAGUCUUGCUUCAGUCACCUGAAAAGUGCCCUGGAGGUUCCCAGGCUGUACCGAAGAACCAACAAGGAGGUGCCAACGACAGCCUCCUCUUAUGUGGACAGUGCUCUGAAGCCGUUGCACCAGCUUCAGAGCGGGCACAAGGAUAAGCUCAAACAAGCCACAAUUCAGCAGUGGUUAGAAGGCGCUCUCUCUGACAGCACGCAUAAGUACUAUGAGACCGUGUCGGACGUCCUGAACUCCGUGAGGAAGAUGGAGGAGAGCCUGAAGAGGCUGAAACAAGCCAGGAGGACUGCUCCCGCCACCCCCGCCGGGCCCAGUGGCGGCGGCAUGAGUGACGACGACAAGAUCAGGCUGCAGUUGGCCUUGGACGUCGCAUAUUUAGGAGAGCAGAUCGAAAAGAUAGGCCUGCGGACAAAGGACAUAAGAAGCUUUCCAGCUCUUACAGAGCUUGUUGCCGCUGCGAAGGACCAGGCAACGGCGGGGCAGCCUUAAGCAUCUUGGAAGAGCCCAGGGGAGAGGAAGUCGGGCCUCGCGCCUGCACGGAAGAAAGCGGCUCUGUUCUCUCACGGCCUGCAGCCAAGAAGCGCUUGCACAGGGUCCCAGCAACGCACCAGGACGGCCUCCCACCGCAGCGUAUUUGGGUUUUCUUUCACCCAAAAAGAAUACAAAAGCCUUUUUCCGUUGUAUGGAAGAUAGUUUUUAACUAAGACAUUUGAAACUUUCUACUAUAGUUUACAGAGCAAAUUAUUUUAUUUUUAUCGUAAAUCUUAGCGUGGCAGAGCUGAUUUCUAAAAUAUGAUUGAAGGAAAUAUAUAUAUGAAUAUAAAAAGUCGUCUCCCUGAUCCUGCAGUUAGAAGUGGCCGGCUGCAGAGGGGUGACCAUACUGUGUGCAAACGCCCUUCUCCACGAUGCAAGUAACUGCCCACUUGCUGACUUUCUGGAAGACGCAGUCCUGGUGGCUCCCCCUCCCCCGUUAGGCGUUCAGGAAGAGUGCAGGUCACCCAGGCCUCUGUCAGGAGCAAGAACCAGCGGGGGGAUCAGUCUCCUAAAUAAAAGAAGAGUCUGCCAAAGCCUGUGUACCUCUAAUGUGUGAAUUCCGCACAAGUCAGAUGCUCCUCCGCAGUCAUGCCUCUGACGACACGUCCCCUCUUCUUGGCACCUGCAGGGUCCUGUCCACCCAGAGCCUCCCUUCAGGCGCGUGGCAGUUCUGGUCCAGGGGAGGGUGACCCGACGCACCUUCCCGGCAACCGAUGCCUGCGUGUCGGGGAGGGAGAAGAGUUGGGAGUGCUGGAAAGAGGUACUGAAAGCACGUGGCUGGUUCGUCGGUUCGCAGGUUCACACGCGCGUGCGAGCGCUCGUGCCGGGCCAUGGCACGGGCCCCUUCAGCCCAACGAUGAUGCGAGAGCAGUUUGCAGGUGAGGAAACAGAAAUUAAGGAGUUGAGUCGGUAACAGGUUUGGGAUCUGAUGACAUCCCUCAGGGGCCGUGAGGCGCGUUCCCUGGCCGUCCUUGGGCCGGGGCUCGUGCCCAGCUGGAACGUCAGAUUGAAGGGACCUGUAGUUGUCAGAUGAUGACCUUGUCACUGGAUAAGCACUUCGCAACCCCAGGAAGACGCACGGUUGGCUGCAGAAAUGUGUAAGAGAAACCAACCCCUACCGUUAACCCGUUAAUCCUUUGUGUCAAGUGGUGCACAAGACGUCGGUCCUGAGUAUCCUUGCAGCAUCCUGAGCCUUCUGCGCACCUGUGAAAGAGCUCCGGAGCGGAGAGCGGCGAGUCCGCUAGUGUCCUGCCGGUUGCUUUUGGAAGUGAGGCCAGAGCACAAGCAUCCUCGUCCUCUGGCCGCCGUGGUGGGGCUGCCCCAGGUCUAUCCAGGCGACUUCAGCCAAAGCUGGGCACCCAGCGGCCCUCACAGAUAUUGGUCAGAUGCAGGAAGGCAUGUGCUGGGAGGAUUGUUUUGAAAGGCAGCUCUGAAUCCAGUAGUCAGCACCUGUUUUGAAAAUAAAAACCCUUUUUCGUCUGAAGUUGUUUUAGGAAUUACAGAAGACACCAUGAUGGUUGUGGUUCUGAUUUGCAGAUGCUUCUGUCCCCUCGAGACCCUAACUCCAAGUGGUGGGUCCUGACGGGUGGUGGCCACGUUCCCGUCUAGAAGCAUGUGCUUGGAGGGGAGGUUUUGAGCAUCGCUUAAAGCAGUGCUAAAUUCUAGGUGAUCCCCGGGCCUCCUGCAAAGAUACAGAUUCCGACUCAGGAGGUCUGGGCGGGGCCUAUGGGCCUGCCUUUCUCCUAGGCUCCCAGGGCAGUGCUCCCCCGGAUGCUAGCGGAGGACCCUGCCCUUCCUGUGCAGCUCCGCGGGGCUGUCCUCACUCCUUGCCCCGUGGCCCCGUGUCACAUCUCCCUUCUCCUCCAGUCUCUCUGUUCCUCCCUCUUACAAGGAGGCCUGUGACUGCACCCAGGGCCCACGCAGAUAAUCCAGGAUCACCUUCUCGCCUGAAGACCUAUAAUCACAUCUGCAAAGCCCCCUUUGCCAUCUAAGGUCACAUUCAGAGGUUCUAGGGAUUGGGACCUGGGCGUCUUUGGGUGCCAUUGUUUAGCCUACCACAGCUGCCCACAGAUAGGCACCCCCUUCCUGCCGUACUUUUGUGGAGCAGGACUUCCAGACAGGGAGGUCGUGGCCUUUGUGUGGACUGAGGGCCAUUGACGUAUUGGUGGUGGUUAUUCAGUUAUUCAUUCAGGUGUUUCCCAUUUUACAAAUAAAGGCAGGGAGGCCCAGAGAGGCAAAGUAACUGGAUCUGGGGCACACAGCAGUUCGUAAGUGUUGGAGCUGGGCUUCCUGCCCAGCCGCCCAUCUCUGGGAUGCCUCUCAUGUGCCCGGCGCAGCAGACUAGACGGCUGGGAAGGACAGCGGUCUCCCCUGACAUUGAAACUGGGGAGAGGUGUUUAGACUACAGAGGGGGGCUUCUUCUCAGGAGAGAAGCUGAGCUGCUGUCCCCUGCCGGCCUCGGUGGUCGGAGGAGCAGACGCCCACCCCGUUGCCACAGUUCCGUCCGGAAGAGCCGGGCCCUUGGAGCGGAUGCAGGGGCCCAGUCUGGGGUGGGCGGGGCAGCUCCUACAAGCAGAGCAAAGACGCCGUCCACUCCCAGCCCUCGAGCCUCCGGCUCCCUCCCCUGCUCCUUGGCCCUUAUGGGUAGUGGCCACACUUCAAGACAGCUUAGUCCUUUCAGUGUUCAUGGAAGGCAGGGACUGAAGGUGCUCUGCGUGCAUUUCACAGUUCGGGGCGAGCAGCAUGGGCCAGCCUGCGAGGGCCCACCUCCCUCUCGGGCUCUGCCUGAGACUUAGAAAGUGGGGGACAGGCAGGCACUCAGCAGACGGAGAGGGAUGUGCCCACGUUCACGGGUGAAGGUUUCUCUCUCCACCUUCCGAGCCCAGCCUCUGUAAGCAGCAAUCCCGGGACGUGUCCGGGAGGAAGGGCCUGGCUGUCUGCCGCCCGGUACUUCCCAGCGGGCUCCGCGCAGCUGGUCUGCGCACCUGGAACUUGUCCAGAUGAGGCGAGGACAGCCUGUGCCUUCCACGAAAGCCCCGUCCAGACACGGCUCCAAGGCCGAAAAGGCCCUUUUGUCGGUACAGCCUGUCAGCUGCCUUGCACACAUUAGUCCCGCUGCUGCUGCUGAGUGAAAGAGGUUUUCAUUUUUGCUUACUGUUGCAAGACAUUUAUUAACACCGCAGUGAUAGCCAGCCAUGGGAUUACAGUCUAACGUACAUUCAGACGCUUGUGUUGUUUUUCGUAAUGUGUUUUUCAAAAACCACAAGUAUCAGGGGAAAGAAAAGCUGAGAAACCCAGAGAAAGGAACGCAUCAUGGACCACUUGCAGGUCAUCGUCACGCUCAAUAAGCCAAAGGUGAGCCUGGGGCAAUGAGAAAGGGAUGUUUUAAUUUUACAGCCCGAUUUCUGUCCUCGAUGAAAAAGGAAACCAUUUUGGGUUUCAAAAACAAGCUGGUGUGUUCAAGCUCUUUCAGGAGCAGUGGCCUGUACCGAACACGGGCUCAUGGCCCUGCAUCCCCCCAGCCACCUGAGAAGGAUGCUCAUUGGACACAGCGCGCGUUUCCCAGGAGGAGCGGCCGCUCUCGGCCCCAGGUGGGCGCCGUGGAAGAGAACGGGGACGGGUGGUGACACCGGCGGUGACACACGGCAGCGGGCCUCACGCAGCGCUCAGCGGGUUGGACACGCGGCCCAGGAAGUGCAGGGCAGCCGAGUCUCGCUCCAAGACGGCCAACAGGAAUGGGCUGUUCAGGGUCACCUCCAAGACCUCGGGCCCAGCUGGCUGUGGUGCAGACUCCGUGGGCUGCUCUCCCUCGUCUGCUUUUAGCUCAAAGAGAACGCUGUUCAGCACCUGCAAAGCAGCAAGCCUGGGGGUUGCUCCUGAAGGCCCGGGCCUGGGGGAGGACCGCUCUCCAGCCUGCCCGCCCUCCCUCGGCCUGACUCACACCAUGUGACGGCUCCUCCCCAAAGUGUCCCCCAAACCCGCCCGUCUCCACCUUUCCCUGCUGUCCCGGGCAGGUGCUUCUCUCUGCGAACUCAGCGCAGAGGGCUCCGGGCCCAGGACUGUGAGCCACCCGGCCUCCCCUCCCUCCCAGCGUGCAGGCAUUUCUCGGUUGCGGGCGUCCAUCGCCCCCUGUGCCCCAGGACCGUCCAUCUGCUGCUAAGUGCGUCCCUGAAGCCAGGAGCCGUGUGGCAGGGCCAGCAGCCGGCCUAGAGGCACUGGUCUCCGGGUCCCCGUCCCGACCCUGCUGUAGGAUCUGGGGAGGACCCGAGGCUGGGCAGGUGGGACAGAGCCCAGAGCACGUGGUGGGGAGAGGUUUGCCGCUCUCCAGCUGUCCCUGGCAAGCCCCAGAGAGCUCCGGUCACUUCUCUGCCACCCUGGGCCCCCAGCCGCCCGGCCACACCCUCCUCUCUCUCCUCCUACCCCCGGGCCACCUCUGUGUCCCUCCCACCCGUGCCUCCUGACUCCGGGAACACAGAGCCCACGUCAGGCACAGACGCCGGCGGCACGGUACCUUUCCAACUCUGAGGUUGGCAUCGCUGAUUUUGCCCAGGUUUGCCUCAGCGCCCAGCAGGGCGGGCAGCUUGGUCUGGGCAAGCAGGUCCUGCAGGUCAUAGGACCCUUUCAGUGUCAGCUGGGGCAUGGUCAGGCGGAUGGCCCUGGGGAGAUGACACACGGUUACCAAGCUCCAGCUGUGAGGCCCCAGGCCACACCGGACUCACGGAAGACCCGGGAAGCCGGGUGGCAUGUGUCCCCGAAUGAGGGGGCGUUUGCUAGCCUCACCCAGCUAGGGUGUCUCGGGAAAAUUUUCAGCAACAAAUACAAUUUAAAAAACCUUCAUUUUCUUUGAAAUUCUGUGGGAGGGAUGUUCAGUAUUUAACAACGGUGCUCUCUGGGGGUUGAUGUGAAUAGUUGUCUAUUCUUUUUUCUACUCCUUUUUUAGGUUGGCUGCAUUGAAAGCAUACUCGUUGGUUAAUUUUAAAACGCUGUCCUCUAGAAUAACGUGUCGUGUCUUACUACCUUUCAGUGGUGAGCUCCCCGUGGGAGGGGGAGAGGGUACGAUGUCAGCCUCUGUGCUGGGCAUGUCACUUAGGUCAAGUCAGUUCACCUCCAUGUACUACCUCUGCCUUCCUUGGGCAACGCUGAGAGUCCAUAGAUGUUUCCAGCGAUGCACCAGACCCUUACAGGGCUGACAGUACACCCAUGUCCAGAGCAGCGCUAUUCACAACAGCCAAAAGGUGGAAGUGACCCAGGUGUCCAUCAGCGGAUGGCUGGAUAAACAGACCGUAGCAGAUACCACACUGGAAUACUACCCAGCCCCACAGAGGAAGGACGUUCUGACACGUGAUGCACCAUGCAUGAGGCUUGAGGACAUUAUGCUCCGUGAACUAAGCCCAACACGAAAGGACAAAUACUAUGUGAUACCACUUAUAGGAGGUACGCAGAGGAGUCGAGUUCAUAGAGACAAAGUAGAAGGGUGGUCGCCAGGGGCUGCAGCGAGGGGAAAUGAGGAGUUGUUAGUGAUUAAUGGGGACAGAGCUUCAGUUUGGGAAGAUGAAAAGUUUCUGGAGACAGAUGGUCGGUAGCACAAAAACGUGAAGGUAUCGAUGCCACAGAGAUAUACACUAUAAAAUGGCUCGGGUGGUAAAUUCUAUGUUAUGUGUUUACCACAGUUUUUAAAAAAUGACUUAAAAAGAGUUGACCUCAGGAGGCCCUCUGUGCCCCUUGGUGCCUGUCUCAGAAUCUGGACCCGCUGCUCUGAGCCUGAUACGUAAGCGAGUCUGAUGCCCCAGUCGCAGUAGGAAAGAGGAACAGAUGACCCAGGCAGCAAACUAGGGGAGUCCUGGAGUCAAGAGCAGCACCCCGAGAAAGCCCGCCUACUCCCAGGGCUCCUGGAAAGUCAGCCCCCAGGAAGCUGUUGGAAUGCAGCGGAUCACACACGGCAAAGGUCCCCUCUCAGAGGGAGUACUGACCGUGGGCCGCCCAAGCCUGCGGGUGAACGGAAGCAUGGGGAAAAGCGGGCCUCCUCCCCUGCCUCUCCUGCACCCAGAGAGGGACCCAGAGAGCUGGGUCCACGGAUGGAGGGUGCACUGGUGGGUGGAGGGCGCUCAGGCACCAUCGCCACCCUACCCGCUGGGCGCCCAGGGCUCGGCCCACACCGCGCCCGUGGCCACCCAUGCCCCCCACCGCCCGGGCAGAGCCGUCCAUGCAGCUCCCCACUCCAGGGGCGCAGCCCAGGAGGGUCCAAGCAGUUUCCCGGAGCCGUACCGUGGAGAGAGAUUCUUCAUCAGGGUCAGGAAGUUGUGCUGGAAGGUGAGGGCCUCCACCUGCCACAAGUCGGGAGCGUGGUGCGGCCGGAUGAGCAGCAGGCAGGCAUUGGCGCUGAGGGGCACGCGGGUCACGGAGAGGUUGUUCUGGGUGUCGCUCCAGUAGUGGAAGGUGCCGAUGCCCGAGAGCAUAGGGACCGACACGGAGGUGGUGUUGUCCACCCAGAACUCCUGGAGCCCCGGCAGCAGGGAGAACCCCUUCAUCUUUCCUGGGGACC